rnacentral:rRNA from 1 species
ANUUNGAGACAGNNGUNGCACGGCUGUCUUCAGCUCGNGUUNUGAAANGNUGGGUUAAGUCCCGCAACGAGCGCAACCCUUAUCNUUNUUGCCAGCGAUUCGGUCGGGAACUCAAAGGAGACUGCCGGUGAUAAACCGGAGGAAGGUGGGGANGACGUCAAGUCAUCAUGGCCCUUACGAGUAGGGCUACACACGUGCUACAAUGGCGCAUACAAAGAGAAGCGACCUCGCGAGAGCAAGCGGACCUCAUAAAGUGCGUCGUAGUCCGGAUCGGAGUCUGCAACUCGACUCCGUGAAGUCGGAAUCGCUAGUAAUCGUGGAUCAGAAUGCCACGGUGAAUACGUUCCCGGGCCUUGUACACACCGCCCGUCACACCAUGGGAGUGGGUUGCAAAAGAAG